UAGGGAAUCUUCCGCAAUGGGCGAAAGCCUGACGGAGCAACGCCGCGUGAGUGAUGAAGGUCUUCGGAUCGUAAAACUCUGUUAUUAGGGAAGAACAAAUGUGUAAGUAACUAUGCACGUCUUGUCGGUACCUAAUCAGAAAGCCACGGCUAACUACGUGCCAGCAGCCGCGGUAAUACGUAGGUGGCAAGCGUUAUCCGGAAUUAUUGGGCGUAAAGCGCGCGUAGGCGGUUUUUUAAGUCUGAUGUGAAAGCCCACGGCUCAACCGUGGAGGGUCAUUGGAAACUGGAAAACUUGAGUGCAGAAGAGGAAAGUGGAAUUCCAUGUGUAGCGGUGAAAUGCGCAGAGAUAUGGAGGAACACCAGUGGCGAAGGCGACUUUCUGGUCUGUAACUGACGCUGAUGUGCGAAAGCGUGGGGAUCAAACAGG
rnacentral:rRNA from 1 species